rnacentral:rRNA from 1 species
GACGAACGCUGGCGGCGUGCUUAACACAUGCAAGUCGAACGGUAAGGCCCUUCGGGGUACACGAGUGGCGAACGGGUGAGUAACACGUGGGUGAUCUGCCCUGCACUUCGGGAUAAGCCUGGGAAACUGGGUCUAAUACCGGAUAGGACCCUGGGAUGCAUGUCCUGGGGUGGAAAGCUUUUGCGGUGUGGGAUGGGCCCGCGGCCUAUCAGCUUGUUGGGGGGGUGAUGGCCUACCAAGGCGACGAAGGGUAGCCGGCCUGAGAGGGUGACCGGCCACACUGGGACUGAGAUACGGCCCGGAAUGCUACGGGAGGCAGCAGUGGGGAAUAUUGCACAAUGGGCGCAAGCCUGAUGCAGCGACGCCGCGUGAGGGAUGACGGCCUUCGGGUUGUAAACCUCUUUCAGCACCGACGAAGCGCAAGUGACGGUAGGUGCAGAAGAAGGACCGGCCAACUACGUGCCAGCAGCCGCCGUAA